rnacentral:rRNA from 1 species
GAUGAACGCUGGCGGCGUGCCUAAUACAUGCAAGUCGAGCGAACAGACGAGGAGCUUGCUCCUCUGACGUUAGCGGCGGACGGGUGAGUAACACGUGGAUAACCUACCUAUAAGACUGGGAUAACUUCAGGAAACCGGAGCUAAUACCGGAGAAUAUAUUGAACCGCAUGGAUCAAUAGUGAAAGACGGCUUUGCUGUCACUUAUAGAUGGAUCCGCGCCGCAUUAGCUAGUUGGUAAGGUAACGGCCUACCAAGGCGACGAUGCGUAGCCGAGCUGAGAGGAUGAUCGGCCACACUGGAACUGAGACACGGUCCAGACUCCUACGGGAGGCAGCAGUAGGGAAUCUUCCGCAAUGGGCGAAAGCCUGACGCAGCAACGCCGCGUGAGUGAUGAAGGUCUUCGGAUCGUAGAACUCUUUUAUUAGGGAAGAACAAAUGUGUAAGUAACUAUGCACGUCUUGACGGUACCUAAUCAGAAAGCCACGGCUAACUACGUG